GUAUAAACGAAACAAUCCGUUUUAAUGUAUCAUGGUGAUAGGACGAACAAAAAAAACGUAAAUAUUUGUAUAGAAAACACAAUAGAAAAUAUUCCUCCAACAGAUUAGGUCAUGUAGGUUACUUAACAAAAGAAAAAUCUCUUGAAAAAAAUCUACCGCCAAACUGCAGAUACUUACAAACUCAAAGUAGAGACCUUACAAAUUGAAACAAAUGCAUAUUGGCUUUAAGUAAUACAAUGCACAUAAAUAAAUCUAGUAACAAAACAACAUUUCAAUUUUAACACAAUAAAUAAAACACGUUUGGGCAUUUUUUUCACUCCAUUUUUCUGAGUAGUUGAAUUUAGAUAUAGAAAUGGUAUAAUUAGUCAUUUUGUUGUAUACACAGAAUAUUUUAGUGUAAAUAUACUUUGAUCAUUUGAUAUGACUCAAUAAUAAAAGUAUAUAUAUAUAUAUAUAUAUAUAU